CAUGUCUUUUUGAUUUUAAUUUAAGGUUUAAUCUGCUCAAUGAUUAUUUAAAUUGCCGCAGUAUUUUAACUGUGCAAAGGUAGCAUAAUAAUUAGUUUCUUGAUUAGGGGCUGGAAUGAAUGAUUUGACGAGAAAAUUACUGUCUCUUUUUAAUUGAUAAUUGAAUUUUAUUUUUAAGUUAAAAAGCUUAAAUAUUAAUGAAAGACGAGAAGACCCUAUAGAGUUUGAUACUGAUUUUAUAUUAAUUUUUAGUAAUUUAAUUAUAAUAAAGUAUUUAGUUGGGGUGACUUGGAGAUUUAAUUAAUUCUUUAAUUUAUUUAUUGUUGAUAAAUAAAUUCGUUAUCUAUAUUUUUAAAUAUAAUAUAAAUUACCUUAGGGAUAACAGCGUUAUUUUUCUUUAGAGUUCUUAUUAAAAGAAAAGAUUGCGACCUCGAUGUUGGAUUAAAAUUUAUUUUUGGAGUAGUUGCUUUAAAAUUAGGUCUGU
rnacentral:rRNA from 1 species